rnacentral:misc_RNA from 1 species
AUAAGGAGAAAGAAAUAAUAAUCACUUAAAUAUAGGAAUUGAGAUUCCAACAGUCUACCAAAACACACUUGGUAAUCCUACCAGCUUAGGCUUUAAAACCUGUUACCUAUUAUAGGAGGAAGAGGAAUAGGCAGUUAAUAGUGGGGAUUGGAGGGAAAGGUAGCUGGAGUAGUCAAGUCUUGUUGAGUUGUUAGUGGUGGUUACAACAGAAUCUGUUUA